CGUCUAUAUACGUAUAGCAUAUCAAUAAGCGGAGGAAAAGAAACUAACAAGGAUUCCCUUAGUAACGGCGAGUGAAGCGGGAAGAGCUCAAAUUUGAAAUCUUCAAGGUUCUACCUUGACGAAUUGUAGUUUAUAGAAGUGUUUUCUGUUAGUGGAGUGGCAAAAGUUCUUUGGAAUAGGACAUCAUAGAGGGUGAGAAUCCCGUAUUUGGUCAUUCCUCCUAGCGUUGUGAUACACUUUCAACGAGUCGGAUUGUUUGGGAAUGCAGUCCAAAAUGGGUGGUAAAUUUCAUCUAAAGCUAAAUAUUGGCGAGAGACCGAUAGCGAACAAGUACCGUGAGGGAAAGAUGAAAAGAACUUUGAAAAGAGAGUUAAACAGUACGUGAAAUUGUCAAAAGGGAAGCGUUCGACACCAGUGUUGUUUUUCCGAAAAUCAAUUACGAAUGUUUUGUUUUUGAGGAGUUAUGACUUCAUCGGCUUGCUCCUUUCUUUACGAAACUUUCUUAAUGCACUUUUCGGUUAACAAGUCAACAUCAAUUUCUUUUGUUGUAAAAGGGUAUGAGGAAGGUGGCUAUCUUUUCGGAGAAAGUGUUUAUAGCCUUGUGCCUCUACAAUCGGAGAGAUUGAGGUCUGCAGCGUAGAUCCUUCGGGGUUAGAUACGUUUGUGCUAAGUUAUAGCUUUCAUAGACAACUUGUUGACAUAUGCUUAGUCAUUGUAGCUUACUCGCUUACUGCUAUUUUACCUACGCUUAGGAUGUUGAUAGUCACAGCGUGUAC
rnacentral:rRNA from 1 species